GUACUGCUGAAGAGUCCCAAAGUAGGACGAGAUGGCUGUCCAGUAC
rnacentral:hammerhead_ribozyme from 1 species